rnacentral:rRNA from 1 species
UACGAAGGGGGCUAGCGUUGCUCGGAAUUACUGGGCGUAAAGCGCACGUAGGCGGCUUUCUAAGUCGGAGGUGAAAUCCUGGAGCUCAACUCCAGAACUGCCUUCGAUACUGGAGAGCUUGAGUCCGGGAGAGGUGAGUGGAACUGCGAGUGUAGAGGUGAAAUUCGUAGAUAUUCGCAAGAACACCAGUGGCGAAGGCGGCUCACUGGCCCGGUACUGACGCUGAGGUGGCGAAAGCGUGGGGAGCAAACAGG